GACGAACGCUGGCGGCGUGCUUAACACAUGCCAGUCGAACGGAAAGGCCCUGCUUUUGUGGGGUGCUCGAGUGGCGAACGGGUGAGUAACACGUGAGUAACCUGCCCUUGACUUUGGGAUAACUUCAGGAAACUGGGGCUAAUACCGGAUAGGAGCUCCUGCUGCAUGGUGGGGGUUGGAAAGUUUCGGCGGUUGGGGAUGGACUCGCGGCUUAUCAGCUUGUUGGUGGGGUAGUGGCUUACCAAGGCUUUGACGGGUAGCCGGCCUGAGAGGGUGACCGGCCACAUUGGGACUGAGAUACGGCCCAGACUGCUACGGGAGGCAGCAGUGGGGAAUAUUGCACAAUUGGCGGAAGCCUGAUGCAGCAACGCCGCGUGCGGGAUGACGGCCUUCGGGUUGUAAACCGCUUUCGCCUGUGACGAAGCGUGAGUGACGGUAAUGGGUAAAGAAGCACCGGCUAACUACGUG
rnacentral:rRNA from 1 species